CCUACGGGGUGCAGCAGUGGGGGAUAUUGCACAAUGGGGGAAACCCUGAUGCAGCGACGCCGCGUGGGCGAAGAAGUAUUUCGGUAUGUAAAGCCCUAUCAGCAGGGAAGAAGAAAUGACGGUACCUGAGUAAGAAGCACCGGCUAAAUACGUGCCAGCAGCCGCGGUAAUACGUAUGGUGCAAGCGUUAUCCGGAUUUACUGGGUGUAAAGGGAGCGCAGGCGGCACGGCAAGCCUGAUGUGAAAGCCCGCGGCCCAACCGCGGGACUGCAUUGGGAACUACCGGGCUGGAGUGCCGGAGAGGUAGGCGGAAUUCCUAGUGUAGCGGUGAAAUGCGUAGAUAUUAGGAGGAACACCAGUGGCGAAGGCGGCUUACUGGACUGUAACUGACGUUGAGGCUCGAAAGCGUGGGGAGCAAACAGGAUUAGAUACCCGUGUAGUC
rnacentral:rRNA from 1 species